rnacentral:rRNA from 1 species
GGGGGGGCAAAGACUAUACAUGCAAGUCGAGCGAAUGGAUUAAGAGCUUGCUCUUAUGAAGUUAGCGGCGGACGGGUGAGUAACACGUGGGUAACCUGCCCAUAAGACUGGGAUAACUCCGGGAAACCGGGGCUAAUACCGGAUAACAUUUUGAACCGCAUGGUUCGAAAUUGAAAGGCGGCUUCGGCUGUCACUUAUGGAUGGACCCGCGUCGCAUUAGCUAGUUGGUGAGGUAACGGCUCACCAAGGCAACGAUGCGUAGCCGACCUGAGAGGGUGAUCGGCCACACUGGGACUGAGACACGGCCCAGACUCCUACGGGAGGCAGCAGUAGGGAAUCUUCCGCAAUGGACGAAAGUCUGACGGAGCAACGCCGCGUGAGUGAUGAAGGCUUUCGGGUCGUAAAACUCUGUUGUUAGGGAAGAACAAGUGCUAGUUGAAUAAGCUGGCACCUUGACGGUACCUAACCAGAAAGCCACGGCUAACUACGUGCCAGCAGCCGCGGUAAUACGUAGGUGGCAAGCGUUAUCCGGAAUUAUUGGGCGUAAAGCGCGCGCAGGUGGUUUCUUAAGUCUGAUGUGAAAGCCCACGGCUCAACCGUGGAGGGUCAUUGGAAACUGGGAGACUUGAGUGCAGAAGAGGAAAGUGGAAUUCCAUGUGUAGCGGUGAAAUGCGUAGAGAUAUGGAGGAACACCAGUGGCGAAGGCGACUUUCUGGUCUGUAACUGACACUGAGGCGCGAAAGCGUGGGGAGCAAACAGGAUUAGAUACCUUUGGUAGUCCAAAAAAAAA